GACGAACGCUGGCGGCGUGCCUAAUACAUGCGAGUUGAGCGCUGAAGGUUGGUACUUGUACCAACUGGAUGAGCCGCGAACGGGUGAGUAACGCGUGGGGAAUCUGCCUUUGAGCGGGGGACAACAUUUGGAAACGAAUGCUAAUACCGCAUAAAAACUUUAAACACAAGUUUUAAGUUUGAAAGAUGCCAUUGCAUCACUCAAAGAUGAUCCCGCGUUGUAUUAGCUAGUUGGUGAGGUAAAGGCUCACCAAGGCGAUGAUACAUAGCCGACCUGAGAGGGUGAGCGGCCACGUUGGGGCUGAGACACGGCCCAAACUCCUACGGGAGGCAGCAGUAGGGAAUCUUCGGCAAUGGACGAAAGUCUGACCGAGCAACGCCGCGUGAGUGAAGAAGGAUUUCGGAUCGUAAAACUCUGUUGGUAGGGAAGAACGUUGGUGAGAGUGGAAAGCUCAUCAAGUGACGGUAACUACCCAGAAAGGGACGGCUAACUACGUG
rnacentral:rRNA from 1 species